AACAAAGUUUCCGUAGGUGAACCUGCGGAAGGAUCAUUGUCGAUACCUGCAAAGUAAACCCGUGAACACGUUAUCAACACGCUUGGGUUCGCGCCGUCGGAUGCCUUUGCGCAUCCACCGUCGCGCUCCCUUCCCGACGAUGCACGCUCGCGUGGGUCGUUCGGGUUCAACGAACUCCCCGGCGCGGAACGCGCCAAGGAAAACUAUCACGAGAAUGCUUGCUCCCGCGAGGCAUCGUUCGCGGUGCAUCGUGGGUGGCAGUGCCUCUUGAAUCACUAAACGACUCUCGGCAACGGAUAUCUCGGCUCUCGCAUCGAUGAAGAACGUAGCGAAAUGCGAUACUUGGUGUGAAUUGCAGAAUCCCGUGAACCAUCGAGUCUUUGAACGCAAGUUGCGCCCGAAGCCAUUAGGUCGAGGGCACGCCUGCCUGGGCGUCACGCAUCGCGUCGCCCCCUCCCACCCCUCUCCUUUGCGAGUGCGGGUGCAUCCGAGGGGACGGACAUUGGCCUCCCGUGCUCUUCCUGUGCGGCCGGCCUAAAUUUGAUUCCUCGUCGACGGAUGUCACGACUGGUGGUGGUUGAAUCAAUCGCGUGCUGUCGUGCGAGACCCCGUCCGGCGGUGGACAUCAUUACUGACCCAACAGCGCCACGCGCUUUCGACUGCGACCCCAGGUCAGGCGGGAUCACCCGCUGAGUUUAAGCAUAUCA
rnacentral:rRNA from 1 species